CCCUCCCUUAUCUCGUCAUUUUCUCAGAAACCCCAAACCCGUGAAAACCUAUCCCCCUUUUCAUGUUAUUCUCUCUUCGCUGAGACCUCGCCACACCUCCCCUUCAAUUCGCCGGCGAUUUGCCGAGCUUGCCGGAGUUUCCUUUACCCCCCCUUGCUGCUUGACGGAGCCUCGUCGCCUGCCGCUGUUACAGUUCCCUGCUCUCUCUCUCUUCUUUCGUUCUUCCUUUCUUCCUUUCUUCCCCUGUCGUGUUGUUCGUUGAUGCUGCUUGGAGUUUUGUUGCUGAUGAACGCCGCCGCCACUCCUUAUGUUGCCGCCUACCUCGUCGAUCGUCGCUGCCCGCUACCGAAGCUUGGCUCCCCUCUUAUUUUUCGUCCCUGCUCAUUUGGAGCAGAGGUUAUUGUUGGAAGAUGAUUUUGGAGUGGAGUAUCAUUCAGAGUUAUGAAGGAGAUUAUGUUGUUGAAACUGGAUUGCAUUUCAGGUUGGUGUUGUGAGCUCGGAAUGGAAGUGAAGCGAGAUUAUGAUGUUGUCGUAGAUUAUGGAUUAAGUUUGUAUUUUAGAUCGUUGGUUCGAGAAUAGUUAUCGGUAUUUCAUUGUAUAUAAUAUUUGGGAAUUUAGUCAAGAUAUUUGUGUAUUUAAGGAUA